rnacentral:rRNA from 1 species
AGUGAACGCUGGCGGUAGGCCUAACGCAUGCAAGUCGAACGGCAGCACAGUAAGAGCUUGCUCUUACGGGUGGCGAGUGGCGGACGGGUGAGGAAUACAUCGGAAUCUACUUUUUCGUGGGGGAUAACGUAGGGAAACUUACGCUAAUACCGCAUACGACCCACGGGUGAAAGCAGGGGAUCUUCGGACCUUGCGCGAUUGAAUGAGCCGAUGUCGGAUUAGCUAGUUGGCGGGGUAAAGGCCCACCAAGGCGACGAUCCGUAGCUGGUCUGAGAGGAUGAUCAGCCACACUGGAACUGAGACACGGUCCAGACUCCUACGGGAGGCAGCAGUGGGGAAUAUUGGACAAUGGGCGCAAGCCUGAUCCAGCCAUACCGCGUGGGUGAAGAAGGCCUUCGGGUUGUAAAGCCCUUUUGUUGGGAAAGAAAAGCAGCAGGUUAAUACCCCGCUGUUCUGACGGUACCCAAAGAAUAAGCACCGGCUAACUUCGUG